rnacentral:rRNA from 1 species
CCUACGGGUGGCUGCAGUGAGGAAUAUUGGUCAAUGGGCGCGAGCCUGAACCAGCCAAGCCGCGUGCGGGACGACGGUUCUAUGAAUUGUAAACCGCUUUUGUAGGGGAGCAAAAGACGCCACGCGUGGCGUUCCGAGAGUACCCGACGAAUAAGCAUCGGCUAACUCCGUGCCAGCAGCCGCGGUAAUACGGAGGAUGCGAGCGUUAUCCGGAUUUAUUGGGUUUAAAGGGUGCGCAGGCGGGAGUACAAGUCAGCGGUAAAAUUGCGAGGCUAAACCUCUUGGAGCCGUUGAAACUGGUUGACUUGAGUGAGCGAGAAGCAGGCGGAAUGCGUGGUGUAGCGGUGAAAUGCAUAGAUAUUACGCAGAACACCGAUUGCGAAGGCAGCAUACUGGGCCUGAACUGACGCUGAUGCACGAAAGUGUGGGGAUCGAACAGGAUUAGAUACCCGUGUAGUC